rnacentral:tRNA from 1 species
GCGUUGGUGGUAUAGUGGUGAGCAUAGCUGCCUUCCAAGCAGCUGACCCUGGUUCAUUUCCUGGCCAAAGCA